UUUUGAUUUCCUGAUUCGCAAAAAAGAAAAAGAAGAAAGGUUUCUGAUAUGUAAUAAAGUAUUUAAUAAGUUUCUUUAAUUUUAAUAUAUAAUACUCCCCGCGAUAAAAAGAUAGUAUACUCCUAAAUAUUGCUAUUUUUUGAAUGUGAUGAAACUUGAUUUUUUCCUUAUAUAUAUAUAUAUAUAUAACGAAAUAUAUAUAUAUAUAUAUAUAUUUCGAUGGAAUUCCAAAGUUGUUUUUAUUGGAAGAGUUAAAUUGAAACGUAAACAAGAGGAGUCAUCAAUGUGAGAAAAUGAUGACAUAGCCUCGAGAUUCUUUUUUUGCUGUUAUUAGACCACCCGAUCGUGUACUGUAUUAUUGUGUGUGUUUGUUGUCGUUUUUUUUAUUAACAUUUUACUCUGUGUAGAAGAAAAUUUUUAUCCGACGUCGAAAUAAAAACGGUUUUGGUACUACAUAAAGAGAACCAUUUCGUUUCAAAAAUUACACGCAUUAUAUAUCGAAACAGAAAAUGAUGAAAACAUUGAAUUUGUGAGGUGUGCCAUUUUUUGUCGUGAAGUAUAUGUGUAUACGCAUUUAUAUAUUACAAUAUACCAAUUAUAAACAGAACCAUACAAACACAAUAUCUCCUUUUUAUACUUUGUUGAAAGGUUUGUUAAAAUCAUGCAAAUAAGAUAUAUAUCUUUUAUUAUACACACUUAAUACAUUACUUAAAACUAUAUCAGUAUGUCUGUACUUCACGUGUUCAAGAAAAAAAGACCAAAAAAGUAUAACAAUAAUGAUGAUUUUUCCAUGAAA